CAGAGAAUAAAGUAACAGAGGAUAUGCGGCAAUGAAGGAACCAAACUCCUAUUUUCACGACUCCCAGACUUAAAUGAAUAUGAUGGUCCUGGGUGUGUCCCACCUGUCUGCCAGUCUAACUGGGAACAGAGGUGUUCAACUGCCUCCUGGCCUGGUCACCAACAACUGGUACCUGUGGCUAGUGGCUGGCGGCCCUUCGGUCCAGGGUACACUUUUGUCUUUGCUGAGUUUGGACCUGUUCCAGUGCUGCAUCUGUGUGGAGCUCUACCUGGCGGGGAUCUACCCUGUGGCCUCCCUCAAGUACAGACCCCUGAGGUACAGGGCAGCGUGUGUGAUCAUGGCAUGGUUGAUGACACUCGGCCUCUUCGGUUCAAUGGGCGCUACCGAAGGCUGCAUCGAGUUCAACGCUGGUAUCUUCGCUGUGAUUCUGUUCACUGAUG
ensembl:lncRNA